CUUAAAUGAAUUGACGGGACCCGCACAAGCAGCGGAGCGUGUGGUUUAAUUCGUUGCUACACGAAGAACCUUACCUGGGUUUGACAUAUAAGUUGUAGGGAACUGAAAGGGACCGACCUUCGGGGAGCUUAUACAGGUGUUGCAUGGCUGUCGUCAGCUCGUGUCGUGAGAUGUUCGGUUAAGUCCGCUAACGAGCGCAACCCUCGCCGUAUGUUACAAGUGUCAUACGGGACUGCCGGUAAAAGCCGGAGGAAGGUGAGGAUGAUGUCAAGUCAGCACGACCUUUAUAUCCAGGGCUACACACACGCUACAAUGGUCUGUACAAUUGGUUGCCAAGCCGCGAGGCGGAGCCAAUCCGUAAAGCAGGCCUCAGUUCAGAUUGCAGUCUGCAACUCGACUGCAUGAAGCCGGAGUUGCUAGUAACCGCAGGUCAGCAAUACUGCGGUGAAUAUGUCCCUGCUCCUU
rnacentral:rRNA from 1 species